CGGUAGCAAUACGUCAGCGGCAGACGGGUGAGUAACACGUGGGAACGUACCUUUUGGUUCGGAACAACUGAGGGAAACUUCAGCUAAUACCGGAUAAGCCCUAACGGGGAAAGAUUUAUCGCCGAAAGAUCGGCCCGCGUCUGAUUAGCUAGUUGGUGAGGUAAUGGCUCACCAAGGCGACGAUCAGUAGCUGGUCUGAGAGGAUGAUCAGCCACACUGGGACUGAGACACGGCCCAGACUCCUACGGGAGGCAGCAGUG
rnacentral:rRNA from 1 species